ACGAUCAUCUAUCCUAUACUCUCUGAACAGAUAAGAAACCAAGUCCCGACAUGGGAAGUGACUUGCCCAAGGUCAUACGGCUACUAAGCGCCAGAGCCAGGCCUUAAACCUGGAUUAUCUGACUCCGAGUACCCUUUAUAUGUCCUCAGGCUGGCCAGGAGGGUCUCUCCUGCCUACAGUCACCUGGCCCCAUGAGGAUUUUGAGAUGCCACUCCAGCACCCCCAGAGAAGUGAGGGGGCUGGAACCACCCAAGCACCCUCCCUGGGGGCACUGGUGCCUGGCUCCCUGCUUCAGGAGUGGCUCCAAGGGCCUGGGUGGGAAGCAGGAGGCCAUUAGGACCCAGAAGCUCUCGGAGCAUCCCGCUCUGCCGGCUGCCUCGCCGCUCACUGCAGUGGUUCAGGCUCCAGCAGCCUUGGAGGAGCAUCAGCUGAGAGGAGCUAUCACAUGGGAGCCCGGAGCUGCUCAGCAAAGGUGAUCUCUUCCCAGCGGUAGCCCCCAGAGCACUGACAGUUAUUUUUAGAGAUGGUUCAGAUUCAACAACUAUUCCCUGAAUGCCCACUGCAUUCCAGCUGUGGUGGAGGGCACGGUCAGGUGGGCUGGAGCACUGGCCCUGGAGCCGGGGUGCCUGGGUACGUCCCCGGACCUUGCCACCUUUGGUAAGUUACUUGAUGUCUCUGGGCCUCAGUUUUCCCAGCUGCAAAGUGGGGAUGAGAGUAAUACCUACCUUAUAGGUUGUGUGAGGGUUAGAAUGAGCUUAUUUACAUACAGUGCUUAGAACAGGGUUUGGCAUACAGAAAGCACCAUUAGAAAUGUUAGCGCUUAUGGGUGGUAUUGUUAGGAAGUCUCACAGGAUCCUCCAAACACAGUAGUGAAGUAGCUAUUAUUCCCUUCAUUUUACAGAUGACUUCAUGAGGAAACUGAAGUCCAGAAGAGUCACAGAGUCCGUUAAUUCCGAGACCUGGGGCUGGAAAUCAGAUCUCGUGGCCUUUCUACUCCCCAACAGCUCCUGCCAUUCUGAGAGACAAGAAAUCAGGAAAUUUACAUAAGCGACUUGAAAACUGGCACUAUCCCGGAGCUCAGCGGGACCCUGGGAGAGGGAGACAGAGGAUUUAGAAUCUCUGGAUAACAGUCCCUGAGAGAGGAGAAGGGUAUGGAGAACAGAGGAAAGGAAAAGGAGGAGGAGCCAGAGACCACUCAGAAGGUGGAGCGUUGAGUGAGCGAGGCUCCGGCAUCUCUCACGUCUCCUGUUUCUUUGGGGUCACCAAGGCAGACCAGAGCCACCUCUUGCCAGAAAGGAGAGAUGAGCUUCUGAGCCCUCAGUUCCGUUAUAUGCACAGCCUGGCCUGGAAGGCUGGCGAUUAGAGCCUGUCGGGGAGGCUCCAGCAGGAGGCGCCCUCUCCCCCCAACCCCACACACAAAAUUGGCAAGCCUGGGCCUGGGCUGGCCAUCCCAGGGUCACUGGACUAGGAUGGGGGAUGGGCCUGUGACAGGAGGUGCCCU
rnacentral:lncRNA from 1 species